rnacentral:lncRNA from 1 species
GCUAAGAGUAAAUUGAUUUUUUUCCACACAUACAUAAAAAUAUGCUAUUAUUAGCCCAUGGUAUAAGAAGGGCUUGGCAAGUUUAUCACGGUAGUUUUGAUUUUUGUCAUCAUGUUUAUGCUGUUGGUAAUUCCUUGUGAUCCAAUUCCACUGUCUUUUAUACCCUGGAAAAUGAUCUGGCCCACGAGCUGGGGCAGAAUUUAUCUGAACUGUUCCUGAUUCCAUUGCAUCACUAAUCAUCAUUGCUUUGUUGAUAUCCUUUGUGAACACACAUCCCUGAACAAUUUCAAGUUCAAUUUUGUUCAUACAAAUUAUUAUUGCUAUGCUCCCAAAUCACAAGUAUAAAUUAUUACCUGAAGUCCAAAGUUACUAGCAUUACAAUGGUGGAUGCCUUCUUCAACAGAAUUGAUCCUAAUUACAGGCAAAACUGGUCCAAAUGGCUCCUCCCAAGCAAUUCUCAUGUCUGGCCUAACAUUAUCCAAUAACAAAGGCCAAAUAAGAUUCCCUUCUCUCUUGUAUUCUUGGCAGAAUGUUGCUCCUUUCUGCUUAGCAUCAUUCACCAAGCCUUCAAUGAAAUUAGCUGAUGAUUCUGAUACAACUGGGGUGAUAUCACAGUCAUCCUCAGGUGGUCCAACGCUUAGUUUUGCCACCUUAGCCUUCACUUUCUCAACCAAAGUAUCAGCAACUGAUUCUAUUACCAAGACAACCUUAACAGCAGUACACCUCUGACCACUUUUCAUGAAGAAAAAAAAAAGUUCCCAACCAAAUCAAGGUCAGCAUCUUCAAGUACAAUGCAAGCAUCUUUUCCUCCCAAUUCCAUUUGUAACGGAAUCAUGCCUGCCUUCUUUGAAAUUGCAAUGCCGGUAUCUCCACCAGUGAAGCUGUCAGAUAGCAAGGUUACAAGUCAGUAGAGAUAAAAGUGGCAUAUAGUCAUAUACUAUGAGAGCAUCAUAUUGAUUGAUAUAUAGUCACCUUAUACAGUUCACUCCUGGAUGCAUUGUAAGGAAGUCACCAAUUUCUGAGCCUUU